UACGUAGGGUGCAAGCGUUGUCCGGAAUCAUUGGGCGUAAAGCGCACGUAGGCGGCUUGCCAAGUCGGACGUGAAAUCCCUCAGCUCAACUGAGGACGUGCAUCCGAAACUGGCGAGCUUGAGUACUGAAGAGGAUCGCGGAAUUCCCGGUGUAGAGGUGAAAUUCGUAGAUAUCGGGAGGAACACCAGUGGCGAAGGCGGCGAUCUGGGCAGAUACUGACGCUGAGGUGCGAAAGCGUGGGGAGCAAACAGG
rnacentral:rRNA from 1 species